GUAGGCGGCCUUUUAAGUCAGGGGUGAAAUCCCGGGGCUCAACCCCGGAACUGCCCUUGAAACUGGGAGGCUAGAAUCUUGGAGAGGCGAGUGGAAUUCCGAGUGUAGAGGUGAAAUUCGUAGAUAUUCGGAAGAACACCAGUGGCGAAGGCGACUCGCUGGACAAGUAUUGACGCUGAGGUGCGAAAGCGUGGGGAGCAAACGGGAUUAGAUACCCUGGUAGUCCACGCCGUAAACGAUGAUAACUAGCUGUCCGGGUUCAGGGAACUUGGGUGGCGCAGCUAACGCAUUAAGUUAUCCGCCUGGGGAGUACGGUCGCAAGAUUAAAACUCAAAGGAAUUGACGGGGGCCUGCACAAGCGGUGGAGCAUGUGGUUUAAUUCGAAGCGACGCGCAGAACCUUACCAGCCUUUGACAUCCUAGGACGGCUUCUGGAGACAGAUUCCUUCCCUUCGGGGACCUAGAGACAGGUGCUGCAUGGCUGUCGUCAGCUCGUGUCGUGAGAUGUUGGGUUAAGUCCCGCAACGAGCGCAACCCUCAUCCUUAGUUGCCAUCAUUCAGUUGGGCACUUUAAGGAAACUGCCGGUGAUAAGCCGGAGGAAGGUGGGGAUGACGUCAAGUCCUCAUGGCCCUUACAGGCUGGGCUACACACGUGCUACAAUGGCAACUACAGUGGGCAGCUAUCCCGCGAGGGUGCGCUAAUCUCCAAAAGUUGUCUCAGUUCGGAUUGUUCUCUGCAACUCGAGAGCAUGAAGGCGGAAUCGCUAGUAA
rnacentral:rRNA from 1 species